GGAGCUGCAUUUAAACUCAGCCCAGGGGGCUUGUUUCUUCUUUAAGCAGCUUGGAAGUGGGUCUGGUCUUCAGUUCUACUGCAGCCCUGUCCUGCCUGGUGGCUGUGGGCUUGGCUGGUGAGCUGGGCUCCUGGCUGCUGCUGUCUCAGCAUCUUCAGCUUACUGCUUCACAGGCUGAACAGAAACAUCUAAGCAGAGGUGAAACCAGGUAGAAGCGGAGUUAAAGCAGCAUUUUCUAUGUGCUCAGGAGAGAGAAAAUAAAGCACUGAAAAAAUCGCAGUUUAAUCCAAAAAAAUAGGAAAUAUUUAUGAAUAGACUGGAUGUGCUCUAGUGGAGGAAGUAAGAAUUACAGGGAGGUAAUAAAUAUUUACCAGUAUCUUAAAUAAUACAGUUAAAUAACACUGGUAAAACAGCCAAAGAUACUGUUAUAAUUUAAAGCCAAUGCAAAGAAACUUGGUAUGCUUGAUGUAUUAAAAAAAGCAACCAUUUAUUGAGGAAGUGGGAGAGUAAUUCCAGGUACUCAGAGCACCUGUGUUGCCUACAUAGAUGCCUGGCACUUGUGAAAUAGCUCUGAGGCUUAUGGUAUGCUGGACUCACCAAGGGAAGCACCAGAGGUGAUGUCUCUUCCUUGAGAGUCAUCCUGAGCUGUAAAGCCAUAGCAGCCCUCAUCGUUAAAUAUAAGGGAAGGCAGUGGAUGUGGACUGAGAAGCAAGUCAUUUUUUCCAGAGCAAGGGAGACUUGCAAUGAAGUACCUGGAAACUAGGUGAAGGUUGAAUUAAUUAAGCACAGCUAUUUCUAUGCUGACCUCCACAGUAACUCUGAUUGUCUGUUCUCCUGGAGUGGAGAAAGCUG